UAGGGAAUCUUCCGCAAUGGACGAAAGUCUGACGGAGCAACGCCGCGUGAGUGAAGAAGGAUUUCGGUUCGUAAAACUCUGUUGUUAGGGAAGAAAAAAUGUAUAGUAACUAUAUACAAAAGAGACGGUACCUAACCAGAAAGCCACGGCUAACUCCGUGCCAGCAGCCGCGGUAAUACGGAGGAUGCGAGCGUUAUCCGGAAUUAUUGGGUUUAAAGGGUGCGUAGGUUGCAAGGGAAGUCAGGGGUGAAAAGCUAUAGCUCAACUAUGGUCUUGCCUUUGAAACUCUCUAGCUAGAGUGUACUGGAGGUACGUGGAACGUGUGGUGUAGCGGUGAAAUGCAUAGAUAUCACACAGAACUCCGAUUGCGCAGGCAGCGUACUACAUUACAACUGACACUGAAGCACGAAAGCGUGGGUAUCAAACAGG
rnacentral:rRNA from 1 species